rnacentral:lncRNA from 1 species
AAAAAAAAGAGAAAUGUAAGUAUUCAUCACGAAAACUUGUAUUCGGCUCGAUCUAUCGGUAAUAAUAAUCAAUGCGGUUAGCCAUGGCAGCUGUGCGAAGCUAUUCCAGAGUUGAGUACUCGCGCGAUCGUAUGCUGGAAUCGGUGUUUCGUCUCGGUUCAAUUGCCUCGAAAUUAUUGCAACCACCGGCGAGCUAUUGGAAUUUACAAUUCCGUCAAUCGCAGUGCCGAGUCAGUUCGAUUUGAGAGCCCUACGUUCAUGGAAGAUUCAAGACAUCCAAGACGAAUGGGGACCAUGAUUCGAGAUCGAAAUAAGGGGAAGGCUCUCCACGAUAGGACCUGAUCCUACCUUUAUUGGCCAUUGUCGCGCUUACUCGUGACCAUUCGAAUGUGACGAACCGAGGCGAGAUCUCCGUCGCCCUCGACUGCAUAAAAACGAAGUAAGGGCUUCGCAGAAGAA